AGUGAACGCUGGCGGUAGGCCUAACACAUGCAAGUCGGACGGCAGCACAGUAAGAGCUUGCUCUUACGGGUGGCGAGUGGCGGACGGGUGAGGAAUACAUCGGAAUCUACUUUUUCGUGGGGGAUAACGUAGGGAAACUUACGCUAAUACCGCAUACGACCUACGGGUGAAAGCAGGGGAUCUUCGGACCUUGCGCGAUUGAAUGAGCCGAUGUCGGAUUAGCUAGUUGGCGGGGUAAAGACCCACCAAGGCGACGAUCCGUAGCUGGUCUGAGAGGAUGAUCAGCCACACUGGAACUGAGACACGGUCCAGACUCCUACGGGAGGCAGCAGUGGGGAAUAUUGGACAAUGGGCGCAAGCCUGAUCCAGCCAUACCGCGUGGGUGAAGAAGGCCUUCGGGUUGUAAAGCCCUUUUGUUGGGAAAGAAAAGCAGCAGGUUAAUACCCCGCUGUUCUGACGGUACCCAAAGAAUAAGCACCGGCUAACUUCGUG
rnacentral:rRNA from 1 species